GACGAACGCUGGCGGCGUGCCUAAUACAUGCAAGUAGAACGCACAGUUUAUACCGUAGCUUGCUACACCAUAGACUGUGAGUUGCGAACGGGUGAGUAACGCGUAGGUAACCUGCCUGGUAGCGGGGGAUAACUAUUGGAAACGAUAGCUAAUACCGCAUAAUAUUAAUUAUUGCAUGAUAAUUAAUUGAAAGGUGCAAUUGCACCACUACCAGAUGGACCUGCGUUGUAUUAGCUAGUAGGUGAGGUAACGGCUCACCUAGGCGACGAUACAUAGCCGACCUGAGAGGGUGAUCGGCCACACUGGGACUGAGACACGGCCCAGACUCCUACGGGAGGCAGCAGUAGGGAAUCUUCGGCAAUGGACGAAAGUCUGACCGAGCAACGCCGCGUGAGUGAAGAAGGUUUUCGGAUCGUAAAGCUCUGUUGUAAGAGAAGAACGGGUGUGAGAGUGGAAAGUUCACACUGGGACGGUAUCUUACCAGAAAAGGACGGCUAACUACGU
rnacentral:rRNA from 1 species